AAGUUGGUGGCUAAGUGAAGGGAAGCACGUGUCUUUAAAACGGAGAUCCGGGGGUUCAAAUCCCCACCGAUUCA
rnacentral:tRNA from 1 species